rnacentral:rRNA from 1 species
AUACGGAGGGAGCAAGCGUUAUUCGGAAUCACUGGGCGUAAAGGACGCGUAGGCGGGUUUGUAAGUCAGGUGUGAAAUCCUACAGCUCAACUGUAGAACUGCACUUGAAACUACAGACCUAGAGUAUGGAAGGGGCAGAUGGAAUUAGUGGUGUAGGGGUAAAAUCCGUAGAUAUCACUAGGAAUACCGAAAGCGAAGGCGAUCUGCUGGGACAUUACUGACGCUGAGGCGUGAAAGCGUGGGGAGCAAACAGGAUUAGAAACCCGAGUAGUCC